GGGCGGGCUGGCCGGGCGAUUCGGGCGCGGGGCCCCGCCUCGUCCGGACUCGGGGCGACCCGAGGCCGGCUGAUCGGCGACGGCCCCGGCCCG
rnacentral:tRNA from 1 species